rnacentral:piRNA from 1 species
UGUCAGGUGUGGCAUUAUUGGGUUACU